AGCGGAUUGGCUGGUGAUGAUGCCAUGGAGUCGGAGGAAAUGCUCGCGAUGCUGUACAGUAUGGCAAUCAUGAGGCAUUUGAUUGGUUGAAGUGUAUUUACUGGGAUCGCCAGACUAAUUCCAUUCCUGAUGUUCAAGUGGAACUGAGGUCGAGAUUGCAUGAGAUUUCUUCCUUUUCUGAAGGAGAAUGAUUCAAAAGAAUCAAAAUUAGGUUCCAAAAGGAAACGGUCUGAGAAACUGAUUAUCAAAGCCAUAAAGUACACUCGACGGCUAUACUAUGCUUGUCCCUUUGAGGUUGUUUCUAUUCUACUGGAUCAUAUGCAACUGGAUGCUCCAGAGUCCCCUGAAAGCAGUGACAUUCAAGAAAUUCAUAGUUUGGGUGUUUAUCAGUCAUCUGACACUCAAAUAUCAAAAAGUGAUAUGAAAACUAUCACUGGUUCCUCA